UUUGAGAAUUUCGGGUUUUUUGGGUGGAAUUUUGAGAAUUUUGGGGUUUUUUGGGUGGAAUUUUGGGAAUUCUGGGGUUUUGGGGGUGGAAUUCCGGGAAUUUCCGGGUGGAAUUUUGGGAAUUUCGGGGUCUCCCCCCCAGGUCCGCCAGCCGCUCCGGGGAGAGGAAGAAGAGCAAGAAGAAGAAGCACAGGUCCGAAUCCGAGGCCAAGAAGCGAAAGCACCGCUCGCCCAGCCCCAAGGCCAAGCACAAGGCCAAGGAGAAGAAGCGCAAGCGGUGAGCCCCUCCCCCUUCUUUAGCCCCUCACCCCUUGCCCAUCCCCCUCUGACCCCGCUCCGCCCCUCCCCCCGCCCGCAGGUCCACCAGCCAAUCGCAGAAGCCGGAGCGCUCUUCCUCCCCGGCCGGCUCCUCCUCCUCCUCGGGCUCCUCCCGCAGCAGGUGAGACCCCCCGGAAA
rnacentral:lncRNA from 1 species